rnacentral:rRNA from 1 species
AGUGAACGCUGGCGGUAGGCCUGACACAUGCAAGUCGAACGGCAGCACAGUAAGAGCUUGCUCUUACGGGUGGCGAGUGGCGGACGGGUGAGGAAUACAUCGGAAUCUACUUUUUCGCGGGGGUUCACGUAGGGAAACUUACGCUAAUACCGCAUACGACCUACGGGUGAAAGCAGGGGAUCUUCGGACCUUGCGCGAUUGAAUGAGCCGAUGUCGGAUUAGCUAGUUGGCGGGGUAAAGGCCCACCAAGGCGACGAUCCGUAGCUGGUCUGAGAGGAUGAUCAGCCACACUGGAACUUGACCACGGUCCAGACUCCUACGGGGGGCAGCGUGGGUGAAUAUUGGACAAGGGGCGCAAGCCUGAUCCAGCCAUACCGCGUGGGUGAAGAAGGCCUUCGGGUUGUAAAGCCCUUUUGUUGGGAAAGAAAAGCAGCAGGUUAAUACCCCGCUGUUCUGACGGUACCCAAAGAAUAAGCACCGGCUAACUUCGUG